GCAUCGGUGUGUGGACAAUCAAACUGUGGCAGAGGGACUAUGAGAAUUUCAGCGGGUGCAUGUAAAAUUCGACAGACGGACCGAAGUCCGGUAGAUUGCGACGAAUGCUAACGAAAGAUCAGUGACCUGCCAAAGAUCACACAGCAUAUUACCAAACGAUUCCUUCUUUGUAGAUUUGACAACCGUGGAAAGCACAUCUACUUUGCGGACACGUGUACUUUCCCUACUUUUCAGUACCAGGGAGCGAAACGACUUCGAUUUGGAGCGAAAGGACUGGGGGCUAAAUUCGGCUAAGAUACAUCCGGGCAUUUUCAACAUGGCUGCCUCCAUGUCAAGGUUGCUCUCUCCUGGUAACUGGACUCAUCUUAUGAAAAUAUCCAGAAUGACACAACAGAUAUUGCAGCGAAAAGUCUAUCAAAUUCAAAUAAAGGUCCAGCCUAUCCACAGAACAAGCCUAUCUACUGUCUGCAGAGGUCCAAUCAUGUUUGGAAGAUAUCAUAUGACCAGUCGUCAGUCUUUCGACAUUCAACUCCGUCAUAUCGUCUCGAGAGUUUCAAAGAAAAAAUUCACAGCUCAGAACAAAAAAGACGGUAUCCCUACGGACUAUAUACUAGUAUACAACGCUAGCCUAACAAGUAAUAUGUAUUACUGCAACAUAAUUUUACACGUUAUUGCCAGCUUAGCUAUAUUACUCAUAGUAAAAAAUUCAUAUGAAUACUACCAAAUAAAGAAGAAGUUCAACAUUUUCGAACCACCUUUGUUAACCUGGAUUCUUUCAGGUGUUGUGGCCAUGAUAUUUUUAUUCUGUUGCCGUGGGCUUGCUAGAAGGAUGCUGCUUCGUAUAUACUACAAUGAGACGUCUGACACUUUCCGAGCUGUCUGUAUAAGUGGUAAUAGCAUCACUCGUAAAGUAAUCGAAUUCACACCGCAGGAUGUGCUGCAGAAAGACAUUACAGGAUACAUGAAACAUUUCUUUGGAAAUCUGAUGAUUUACGGCCGAGCAUACACAGUUGAGGACCGGGAUUUCCGAAGUCCGCAUUAUUAUAAUCAUAUGAUGCAAUGGGAGAAGCCAAAGACUGUAGAGUUUGAUGAUCAUAUUGACAGUAUCUUCAGAAAUAGACCACCGAAAGAUCGGAUGUGAUUUUUAAAAUUUGGCACCAGUUUGGUACUUGUAGCAUAGUUCUGGACUGGAAUUUCAAGACUUUUACAUGUACAUUUAUACACUCCAAUCCAGAAUAUGGAUGCAUGUGAAAAUUGGACUGUUUUUGGCACCCAAUUAAUUACGGAGGUCAUGUUUAUAGAUGGUGUAACUUCCUGGUGAAAACAAACGGGCAAAACACAAGCUCGGCUGCAACUAAUGUGUACAUGUAUUGUUUCGUGAAACACAUUUAAGAAUAAA